GGAGGAAUAUUGGGUCAAUGGGGGCGGGAGCCUGAACCAGUCAAGUCGCGUGAGGGAGGAAGGUCCUACGGAUUGUAAACCUCUUUAGCCGGGGAGCAACGUGCGCCACGCGUGGCGCAGUGAGAGUACCCGGAGAAUAAGCAUCGGCUAACUCCGUGCCAGCAGCCGCGGUAAUACGUAGGGAGCGAGCGUUAUCCGGAUUUAUUGGGUGUAAAGGGUGCGUAGACGGGGAAUUAAGUUAGCUGUGAAAUCCCUCGGCUUAACUGAGGAACUGCAACUAAAACUGAUUUUCUUGAGUGCUGGAGAGGAAAGUGGAAUUCCUAGUGUAGCGGUGAAAUGCGUAGAUAUUAGGAGGAACACCAGUGGCGAAGGCGACUUUCUGGACAGUAACUGACGUUGAGGCACGAAAGUGUGGGGAGCAAACAGGAUUAGAUACCCUGGUAGU
rnacentral:rRNA from 1 species